rnacentral:rRNA from 1 species
UACGUAGGUGGCGAGCGUUGUCCGGAAUUACUGGGUGUAAAGGGCGUGUAGGUGGGGAGACAAGUCAGAUGUGAAAUCCCAUGGCUUAACUGUGGGGCUGCAUCUGAAACUGUAUCUCUUGAGUACUGGAGAGGAAAGCGGAAUUCCUAGUGUAGCGGUGAAAUGCGUAGAUAUUAGGAGGAACACCAGUGGCGAAGGCGGCUUUCUGGACAGAAACUGACACUGAGGCGCGAAAGCGUGGGGAGCAAACAGG